rnacentral:rRNA from 1 species
GAUCGGCGUCCCUCGGGGGACAGGGUGGACAGGGUGGUGCAUGGUUGUCGUCAGCUCGUGUCGUGAGAUGUUGGGUUAAGUCCCGCAACGAGCGCAACCCUCGACCUUAGUUGCCAGCAUUCAGUUGGGCACUCUAAGGUGACUGCCGGCUAAAAGUCGGAGGAAGUGGGAUGACGUCAAAUCAUCAUGCCCCUUAUGUCUUGGGCUUCACGCAUGCUACAAUGGCCGGUACAAAGGGCUGCGAUACCGCGAGGUGGAGCGAAUCCCAGAAAGCCGGUCUCAGUUCGGAUUGGGGUCUGCAACUCGACCCCAUGAAGUCGGAGUCGCUAGUAAUCGCAGAUCAGCAACGCUGCGGUGAAUACGUUCCCGGGCCUU